rnacentral:rRNA from 1 species
UGGGGAAUAUUGCACAAUGGGCGCAAGCCUGAUGCAGCCAUGCCGCGUGUAUGAAGAAGGCCUUCGGGUUGUAAAGUACUUUCAGCGGGGAGGAAGGGAGUAAAGUUAAUACCUUUGCUCAUUGACGUUACCCGCAGAAGAAGCACCGGCUAACUCCGUGCCAGCAGCCGCGGUAAUACGGAGGGUGCAAGCGUUAAUCGGAAUUACUGGGCGUAAAGCGCACGCAGGCGGUUUGUUAAGUCAGAUGUGAAAUCCCCGGGCUCAACCUGGGAACUGCAUCUGAUACUGGCGAGCUUGAGUCUCGUAGAGGGGGGUAGAAUUCCAGGUGUAGCGGUGAAAUGCGUAGAGAUCUGGAGGAAUACCGGUGGCGAAGGCGGCCCCCUGGACGAAGACUGAAGCUCAGGUGCGAAAGCGUGGGGAGCAAACAGG